rnacentral:rRNA from 1 species
GACGUAGGGCGCGAGCGUUUGUCCGGAUUUAUUGGGCGUAAAGAGCUCGUAGGCGGCUUGUUGCGUCGACCGUGAAAACCCGUGGCUUAACUGCGGGCUUGCGGUCGAUACGGGCGGGCUGGAGUUCGGUAGGGGAGACUGGAAUUCCUGGUGUGCGGUGAAAUGCGCAGAUAUCAGGAGGAACACCGGUGGCGAAGGCGGGUCUCUGGGCCGAUACUGACGUGAGGAGCGAAAGCGUGGGGAGCGAACAGG